UUGAAAAGGACCACAAUGGUCAACUCGUUUCAACCCCCUGCUAUGUGCAGGGUCGCCAACCACCAGACCAGGCUGCCCAGAGCCACAUCCAGCCUGGCCUUGAAUGCCUCCAGGGAUGGUGCAUCCACAACCUCCUUGGGCAACCUGUUCCACGCAUCACCACCUCUGUGUGAAAAACUUCUUCCUAAUAUCUAACCUAAACCUCCCCUGUCUCAGCUUAAAACCAUUCCCUCUUGUCCUAUCACUAUCCACCCUCAUAAACAGCCAUUCCC
ensembl:lncRNA